rnacentral:tRNA from 1 species
GGGCCGUUAGCUCAGCUGGUAGAGCACCUGCUUUGCAAGCAGGGGGUCGUCGGUUCAAAUCCGACACGGUCCACCA